rnacentral:rRNA from 1 species
UAGGAGAGCGUUCUAAGGGCGUCGAAGCAUGAUCGCAAGGACAUGUGGAGCGCUUAGAAGUGAGAAUGCCGGUGUGAGUAGCGAAAGAUGGGUGAGAAUCCCAUCCACCGAUUGACUAAGGUUUCCAGAGGAAGGCUCGUCCGCUCUGGGUUAGUCGGGUCCUAAGCCGAGGCCGACAGGCGUAGGCGAUGGAUAACAGGUUGAUAUUCCUGUACCGCCAAUAAUCGUUUUAAGCGAUGGGGGGACACAGUAGGAUAGGCGAAGCGUGCUGUUGGAGUGCACGUCCAAGCAGUAAGACUGAAUGGUAGGCAAAUCCGCCAUUCAUAAGGUCAAGCUGUGAUGGGGAGAGGAAACAUGUUUUCCUCGAGUCGUUGAUUUCACACUGUCGAGAAAAGCCUCUAGCUAGAGAUUUGGCGCCCGUACCGCAAACCGACACAGGUAGUCAAGAUGAGAAUUCUAAGGUGAGCGAGAGAACUCUCGUUAAGGAACUCGGCAAAAUGACCCCGUAACUUCGGGAGAAGGGGUGCUCUUUAGGGUUCACGCUCUGAAGAGCCGCAGUGAAUAGGCCCAAGCGACUGUUUAUCAAAAACACAGGUCUCUGCUAAACCGUAAGGUGAUGUAUAGGGGCUGACGCCUGCCCGGUGCUGGAAGGUUAAGAGGAGUGGUUAGCUUCUGCGAAGCUACGAAUCGAAGCCCCAGUAAACGGCGGCCGUAACUAUAACGGUCCUAAGGUAGCGAAAUUCCUUGUCGGGUAAGUUCCGACCCGCACGAAAGGCGUAACGAUUUGGGCACUGUCUCAACGAGAGACUCGGUGAAAUCAUAGUACCUGUGAAGAUGCAGGUUACCCGCGACAGGACGGAAAGACCCCGUGGAGCUUUACUGUAGCCUGAUAUUGAAAUUCGGCACAGCUUGUACAGGAUAGGUAGGAGCCUUGGAAACGUGAGCGCCAGCUUACGUGGAGGCGUUGGUGGGAUACUACCCUAGCUGUGUUGGAUUUCUAACCCGCGCCAUUGAUCAUGGCGGGAGACAGUGUCAGGCGGGCAGUUUGACUGGGGCGGUCGCCUCCUAAAGUGUAACGGAGGCGCUCAAAGGUUCCCUCAGAAUGGUUGGAAAUCAUUCAUAGAGUGUAAAGGCAUAAGGGAGCUUGACUGCGAGACCUACAAGUCGAGCAGGGUCGAAAGACGGACUUAGUGAUCCGGUGGUUCCGCAUGGAAGGGCCAUCGCUCAACGGAUAAAAGCUACCCCGGGGAUAACAGGCUUAUCUCCCCCAAGAGUUCACAUCGACGGGGAGGUUUGGCACCUCGAUGUCGGCUCAUCGCAUCCUGGGGCUGUAGUCGGUCCCAAGGGUUGGGCUGUUCGCCCAUUAAAGCGGUACGCGAGCUGGGUUCAGAACGUCGUGAGACAGUUCGGUCCCUAUCCGUCGUGGGCGCAGGAAAUUUGAGAGGAGCUGUCCUUAGUACGAGAGGACCGGGAUGGACAUACCUCUGGUGUACCAGUUGUCGUGCCAACGGCAUCGCUGGGUAGCUAUGUAUGGACGGGAUAAGUGCUGAAAGCAUCUAAGCAUGAAGCCCCCCUCAAGAUGAGAUUUCCCAACUUCGGUUAUAAGAUCCCUCAAAGAUGAUGAGGUUAAUAGGUUCGGGGUGGAAGCAUAGCGAUAUGUGGA